ACAAGUGUCACACGGAACUGCCGGUCAUAAACCGGAGGAAGUGGGGAUGACGUCAAGUCAGCAUGGCCUUUAUAUCCUGGGCUACACACACGCUACAAUGGGAAGGGACAAUAGGUUGCGAAGCCGCGAGGUGGAGCCAAUCCAGCAAAACUUCCCUCAGUUCAGAUUGCAGGCUGCAACUCGCCUGCAUGAAGUUGGAGUUGCUAGUAAACGCAGGUCAGCCAUACUGCGUUGAAUACGUUCCCGGGGCUU
rnacentral:rRNA from 1 species